rnacentral:rRNA from 1 species
CUUACGCACUCCUACGGGAGGCAGCAGUGGGGAAUAUUGCACAAUGGGCGCAAGCCUGAUGCAGCCAUGCCGCGUGUAUGAAGAAGGCCUUCGGGUUGUAAAGUACUUUCAGCAGUGAGGAAGGUGGGUAUGUUAAUAGCAUACUCAUUUGACGUUAGCUGCAGAAGAAGCACCGGCUAACUCCGUGCCAGCAGCCGCGGUAAUACGGAGGGUGCGAGCGUUAAUCGGAAUUACUGGGCGUAAAGCGCAUGCAGGUGGUUUGUUAAGUCAGAUGUGAAAGCCCGGGGCUCAACCUCGGAAUUGCAUUUGAAACUGGCAAACUAGAGUACUGUAGAGGGGGUAGAAUUUCAGGUGUAGCGGUGAAAUGCGUAGAGAUCUGAAGGAAUACCGGUGGCGAAGGCGGCCCCCUGGACAGAUACUGACACUCAGAUGCGAAAGCGUGGGGAGCAAACAGGAUUAGAUACCCUGGUAG